rnacentral:misc_RNA from 1 species
AAACCAAUCCAGCUUGCUGGGUCUUGGGCUCUCGCCUCCGGGCGGGCCCUAAAAUCAGUGGCGGUGCCGUCCGGCUCUAAGCGUAGUAAUACUCCUCGCUACAGGGUCCCGGGCGGUCGCUUGCCAGCAACCCCUAAAUCUUUCA